rnacentral:rRNA from 1 species
AGUGAAUAGAUACCCAGGUAGUCCACGCCGUAAACGAUGAACACUAGGUGUGGGUGGGUUCAAAACCAUCUGUGCCGCAGCCAACGCGUUAAGUGUUCCGCCUGGGGAGUACGGCCGCAAGGCUAAAACUCAAAGGAAUUGACGGGGGCCCGGCACAAGCAGCGGAGCGUGUGGUUUAAAUUUACGAUGCAACAACGAAGAACCUUACCUGGGUUUGUACAUCAAAGUAAGUAGUGAAACGAAAACGUGGAACGACCCUUCGGGGUAGGCUUUGUACAGGUGCUGCAUGGCUGUCGUCAGUUCGUGUCGUGAGAUGUUGGGUUAAGUCCCGCAACGAGCGCAACCCUACUUGCUAGUUAUACGUGUCUAGCGAGACUGCCGGUCUCAAACCGGAGGAAGGUGGGGACGACGUCAAGUCAGCAUGGCCUUUAUAUCCAGGGCUACACACACGCUACAAUGGGCAGUACAAUGGGCAGCGAAGGGGUCGACCUGGAGCGAAUCUCAUCAAAGCUGUUCGUAGUUCAGAUUGUAGGCUGCAACUCGCCUAC